GGUUAACGGGGAAUUAGGGUUCAAUUCCGGAGAGGGAGCCUGAGAAACGGCUACCACAUCUAAGGAAGGCAGCAGGCGCGCAAAUUACCCAAUUCUAACAGCAUAAGAGAGGUAGUGACAAGAAAUAACAGUACAAGGCAGUUAAAAUGCUUUGUAAUUGGAAUGAUAGAAAUUUAAAUACUUUUUAAAGUAUCAAUUGGAGGGCAAGUCUGGUGCCAGCAGCCGCGGUAAUUCCAGCUCCAAUAGCGUAUAUUAAAAUUGUUGCAGUUAAAAAGCUCGUAGUUGAAUUUUUGCUAAAAAUAACCGGUCUGCUUUUAUUAAUAAAAGUGGUAUCUUGGUGUGUUUUUAGCAAUAAURUCCUUUGAAAUGUUUUUUACUUUAUUGUAAGAGGCAAUUUUCAGGAUUUUUACUUUGAGAAAAUUAGAGUGUUUCAAGCAGGCUAACGUUUUGAAUACUGCAGCAUGGAAUAAUAAAAUAGGAUUUUAGUUCUACGUUAUUGGUUUUAAGAACUAAAUUAAUGAUUGAUAGGAGCAGUUGGGGGCAUUUGUAUUUAACUGUCAGAGGUGAAAU
rnacentral:rRNA from 1 species